AGUUAAAAACCCAGUUAGAAAUGUCGUAAAAUUGGGUAUGUCGGUCUUAAAUCCGGGUUUUUCUGGAAGGAGUAACUAUACAUCCAUGGGAUUGACCCGGCGGUGUAACAACGGGACAGAGGCCAGGCUCCACACAACCAUGGAGUGUGUUUUUACUACCGGGAACAAAGCUAACGGCUGAACCGCGGCAUCUCUCAGCUGGAGACAGUUCUUGGGGAAGUCUGAUGCUGAAGUCACAAUUGUUUCUUCUAGACUGAAACGCAGCCUCGGAGAGAGAAAUACCUGUAAGAGCCCCCAGUCGUUGGUGCUGUUGGUGGACACGAUGAGGCCCUGCUCCUGGAAAGU